rnacentral:rRNA from 1 species
CGAUUGACACGACUCUCGGCAAUGGAUAUCUCGGCUCUCGCAUCGAUGAAGAGCGCAGCGAAAUGCGAUAUGUGGUGCGAAUUGCAGAAUCCCGCGAACCAUCGAGUCUUUGAACGCAAGUUGCGCCUGAGGCCAACCGGCCAAGGGCACGUCUGCCUGGGCGUCAAG